rnacentral:rRNA from 1 species
AUGGCCCCGAGCACCUCUUCCCGCGCUCAUCUCGUGGCGCCCGAGCACCUCGUCUCCGCCAUCUGGCCUCCGCGCCCGCAAGACCUCGUCGCUCACCGGCGCCUCUACCGGAGCAGGUCCCCGUCGCCCUCUCCUUCGUGUUUCCCUCCUUUUUCCCUAUUCUUCAACUCACCUCGAGCUCCCUCUCUCUCUCUCUCUCUCUGUUCGAACAGAUGCCGCCAUGGAUCCCGCGCCCGAGCAGAGGAGGUUGCGUCCUCGAGCUCCUUCUGGUUCCCGCGCCUCCGGCAACCAGUGACCGCCGGCGAGCGCCCCGUCCCACAAAGGAGCCCCGCCAGGAUCUCCGAGCCACUGCAACGCCCUCGUUUCGUCUCCCUCUCCUCUCCUGCACCUCGUUCCCGGUGCCGGAAAAACUGCAGUCGCGCCAUGGCCUUCCUCCUCCCAUGCCGUGCUUCUCGUCGGUGA